AGCGGGCAGGGGUCACCCACGGGGAACACCGGGCACCGAGCAGGGGUCACCCACGGGGAACACCGGGCAGGGGUCACCCACGGGGAACACCGGGCACCAGGCAGGGGUCACCCAUGGCAGUGUCCACAGGGAACACCAGUCACCGGGCAGGGGUCACCCACGGGGAGCACCAGGCAGGGGUCACCCAUGGCAGUGUCCACAGCACCGGGCAGGUGUCACCCAUGGGGAACACCGGGCACCGGGCAGGGGUCACCCACGGGGAACACCGGGCACUGGGCAGGGGUCACCCAUGGCAGUGUCCACAGGGAACACCGGGCACCGGGCAGGGGUCACCCACGGGGAGCACCGGGCACCGGGCAGGGGUCACCCAUGGCAGUGUCCCCAGGGAACACCCAGGACCAGAGGGGGGUCACACACCCACUGUCACCCCGGCUACUGUCCCCAAAGGUUCCCCAGCCCUGUCCCUGCAGCCAGGCUGGUUCUGCUGUAGUUCACAUCCCUCCCAUGGAAGCGUGGCCUGGGCCUGAAAUGCAGAUUUAAUAUAAUUAUUAAUAAUGCCCAUAUAAUUAUUGAUGAUGUCCAUAAUGAAGGAGCAGCCUUGUGUGUGUGUGUGCAGGUGAUUUUGUGCACAUCACAGGGUGAGGGGCUGGGGGCCACUGCUGUGAUGCUGAUCCAGGCUUCCCAAAAAUCAGAGCCUUUACCUCUCCCAGGCAGCCUCAAACACCACAAACUCUUUUAUUCCCUGCCUGCCUCUCCCCUCUCCACAUCCAGCUGAGUUCACCCACUGAGGCUGCCUGGGACCUUUGCCCUUGGCCAGAGUUGCUCCAGGAGAUUGGGAUCUGUGUUUUGGGCUUUGACCUCCAUCAGAAAUGUCUGGUCUUGUCCCUGUGGGAUGCACAGAUGGAUGGGAAUCCAGCUGUUGUUGUGCUUUCCCAGCCCUGGAAUGUCAGAGCUCCACAGGAGAGGCUGGCAGGGAUCCUUGUUCCUCCAAAAAUCUCCCCCAAUCCUCCCCAGUUCCCGUUGUCUCCACAACUGGAGUUUGGAGUGGUGCUAGAGCACAUCAGUGUGACAGAGGAGACCCUGAGCGAGGCUUGGGAGGGAAUUUUGGGGUGGAAUUUGGGGAUUUGUGGCUGGAUCUUGGGUCAUGGUGGGACGAGGAACCGCUGUUGAAUUUAGAGGAGGUGACAGCAAAGCCAGGACACAGGUGAUGAUUCCCUUCUCUUUGGAAAUCUCUUUCCACAGGCUCAGUGCUCUGCCUGAGCAGCAGCUCAGGUUUUAUCCCCUCUGGAUGAUCUGGAGGGAUCACCCAGAAGGACACAGAGAUGUUGGAGCGAGUCCAGAGGGAUCAGAGGGAUGGAGCAACUCUCCUGUGGGAAAAGGCUGGGAGAAUUGGGAUUGUUCAGCCUGCAGAAGAGAAGCUUCGGGUUCUCCACCUAAUUGUGGCCUUGCAGUGCCCGAAGGGGCUGACAAAAAAAACACAGAGACUUAUUUUGGACGAGGGAUGGAGUGACAGGACACAGGGAAUGGCAUCAAGCUGACA